rnacentral:rRNA from 1 species
UACAGAGGUCCCAAGCGUUGUUCGGAUUCACUGGGCGUAAAGGGUGCGUAGGCGGUCGGGUAAGUCUGAUGUGAAAUCUCGGAGCUCAACUCCGAAACUGCAUUGGAUACUAUCCGGCUAGAGGAAUGGAGGGGAGACUGGAAUACUUGGUGUAGCAGUGAAAUGCGUAGAUAUCAAGUGGAACACCAGUGGCGAAGGCGAGUCUCUGGACAUUUCCUGACGCUGAGGCACGAAAGCCAGGGGAGCAAACGGG